UACGGAGGAUGCGAGCGUUAUCCGGAUUUAUUGGGUUUAAAGGGUGCGUAGGCGGAUCGUUAAGUCAGUGGUCAAAUUGAGGGGCUCAACCCCUUCCCGCCAUUGAAACUGGCGCUCUUGAGUGGAGGAGAAGUAUGCGGAAUGCGUGGUGUAGCGGUGAAAUGCAUAGAUAUCACGCAGAACCCCGAUUGCGAAGGCAGCAUGCCGGCUUCCGACUGACGCUGAAGCACGAAAGCGUGGGGAUCGAACAGG
rnacentral:rRNA from 1 species